AAUGAACGCUGGCGGCAGGCCUAACACAUGCAAGUCGAACGAGAUCCUUCGGGGUCUAGUGGCGCACGGGUGCGUAACGCGUGGGAAUCUGCCCUUAGGUUCGGAAUAACAGUUAGAAAUGACUGCUAAUACCGGAUGAUGACGUUAAGUCCAAAGAUUUAUCGCCUGAGGAUGAGCCCGCGUAGGAUUAGCUAGUUGGUGUGGUAAAGGCGCACCAAGGCGACGAUCCUUAGCUGGUCUGAGAGGAUGAUCAGCCACACUGGGACUGAGACACGGCCCAGACUCCUACGGGAGGCAGCAGUGGGGAAUAUUGGACAAUGGGCGCAAGCCUGAUCCAGCAAUGCCGCGUGAGUGAUGAAGGCCUUAGGGUUGUAAAGCUCUUUUACCCGGGAUGAUAAUGACAGUACCGGGAGAAUAAGCCCCGGCUAACUCCGUG
rnacentral:rRNA from 1 species